UUACCGUUUAGGUUUAUUCCUACGGUGCGCCACAGUUGUGUUUCCCACUUAUAUGCGUUUGGAUAGGAACUUGCAAGCCAGAAACCAAGAUUUUGACCCAAGAAGUCACAAUCCGCCAUAGCUGCGAAAUAAUCCGUAUCCGUCCAUAUACCAUUACCAUCUUGCCAUUCGGCAUGACUCACAAGAAAGGAAUCCUGAGGAUAAAAGUAAGACCU